rnacentral:rRNA from 1 species
AUUGAACGCUGGCGGCAUGCUUUACACAUGCAAGUCGAACGGCAGCGCGGUCUUCGCUCUGUCUUCGAGUUGCCGACUGGUGAGUAAUACAUCAGAACGUCCCCAUUUGUUUUUUAUAGCUCGGCGAAAUACGGAUUCUUACCGCAUACGCCCUUACGGCCUAAGCGUGAGAUCUUCGGAUCUUCCGCUCUUGCAGCGGCCGAUGGCCGAUUAGCUAGUUGGUGGGGUAAAGGCCUACCAAGGCGACGAUCUGUAGCUGGUCUGAGAGGAUGACCAGCCACACUGGGACUGAGACACGGCCCAGACUCCUACGGGAGGCAGCAGUGGGGAAUAUUGGACAAUGGGCGAAAGCCUGAUCCAGCAAUGCCGCGUGUGUGAAGAAGGCCUUCGGGUUGUAAAGCACUUUUGGCGGGAAAGAAAAGGAGUGGGCUAAUACCACGGUGCGAUGACGGUACCCGAAGAAUAAGCACCGGCUAACUACGUG